CGGACGGGUGAGUAACGCGUGAGAACCUACCUUUAGGAGGGGGACAACCACUGGAAACGGUGGCUAAUACCGGAUGUGCCGAGAGGUGAAAGGUUAACUGCCUAGAGAUGAGCUCGCGUCUGAUUAGCUAGUAGGUAGUGUAAUGGACUACCUAGGCGACGAUCAGUAGCUGGUCUGAGAGGACAAUCAGCCACACUGGGACUGAGACACGGCCCAGACUCCUACGGGAGGCAGCAGUGGGGAAUUUUCCGCAAUGGGCGAAAGCCUGACGGAGCAAUACCGCGUGAGGGAGGAAGGCUCUUGGGUCGUAAACCUCUUUUCUCAGGGAAGAACACAAUGACGGUACCUGAGGAAUAAGCAUCGGCUAACUCCGUGCCAGCAGCCGCGGUAAUACGGAGGAUGCAAGCGUUAUCCGGAAUGAUUGGGCGUAAAGCGUCCGCAGGUGGCAAUGUAAGUCUGCUGUUAAAGAGUCUAGCUCAACUAGAUAAGAGCAGUGGAAACUACAUAGCUAGAGUACGUUCGGGGCAGAGGGAAUUCCUGGUGUAGCGGUGAAAUGCGUAGAGAUCAGGAAGAACACCGGUGGCGAAGGCGCUCUGCUAGGCCGUAACUGACACUGAGGGACGAAAGCUAGGGGAGCGAAUGGGAUUAGAUACCCCAGUAGUC
rnacentral:rRNA from 1 species